rnacentral:rRNA from 1 species
CGCUGGCGGCAGGCCUAACACAUGCAAGUCGAGCGGCAGCGACAUCAACAAUCCUUCGGGUGCGUUGAUGGGCGGCGAGCGGCGGACGGGUGAGUAAUGCCUGGGAAUAUGCCCUGAUGUGGGGGAUAACCAUUGGAAACGAUGGCUAAUACCGCAUAAUCUCUUCGGAGCAAAGAGGGGGACCUUCGGGCCUCUCGCGUCAGGAUUAGCCCAGGUGAGAUUAGCUAGUUGGUGAGGUAAGAGCUCACCAAGGCGACGAUCUCUAGCUGGUCUGAGAGGAUGAUCAGCCACACUGGAACUGAGACACGGUCCAGACUCCUACGGGAGGCAGCAGUGGGGAAUAUUGCACAAUGGGGGAAACCCUGAUGCAGCCAUGCCGCGUGUGUGAAGAAGGCCUUCGGGUUGUAAAGCACUUUCAGUCGUGAGGAAGGCGUUAUCGUUAAUAGCGGUAGUGUUUGACGUUAGCGACAGAAGAAGCACCGGCUAACUCCGUGCCAGCAGCCGCGGUAAUACGGAGGGUGCGAGCGUUAAUCGGAAUUACUGGGCGUAAAGCGCAUGCAGGCGGCUUGUUAAGCCAGAUGUGAAAGCCCGGGGCUCAACCUCGGAAUAGCAUUUGGAACUGGCAGGCUAGAGUCUUGUAGAGGGGGGUAGAAUUUCAGGUGUAGCGGUGAAAUGCGUAGAGAUCUGAAGGAAUACCGGUGGCGAAGGCGGCCCCCUGGACAAAGACUGACGCUCAGAUGCGAAAGCGUGGGGAGCAAACAGGAUUAGAUACCCUGGUAGUCCACGCCGUAAACGAUGUCUACUUGGAGGUUGGUGUCUUGAACACUGGCUUUCGGAGCUAACGCGUUAAGUAGACCGCCUGGGGAGUACGGUCGCAAGAUUAAAACUCAAAUGAAUUGACGGGG